UUUCCGUAGGUGAACCUGCGGAAGGAUCAUUAAUGAGUUGUCAUGGGGUUCGAUGCUGGCAGCCAAUUUUUGGAUGCAUGUGCUUGCCCUAACAAUCAUCUUCCAAACACCUGUGCACAUUUUUGAGGGAGUCUUGUGUUGGUUGCCGCUCUUGGGUGAUUUUCUCACAUUCCCUUAAAUCAUUAUACGCUAUUAACAAUGUUGAACGUGCUCUGUGCCGCAAGGCCAUUAAUAUAAUACAACUUUUAACAACGGAUCUCUUGGCUCUC
rnacentral:misc_RNA from 1 species